rnacentral:rRNA from 1 species
AUUGAACGCUGGCGGCGUGCCUUACACAUGCAAGUCGAACGGUAACAGGUCUUCGGAUGCUGACGAGUGGCGAACGGGUGAGUAAUACAUCGGAACGUGCCUAGUAGUGGGGGAUAACUACUCGAAAGAGUGGCUAAUACCGCAUGAGAUCUACGGAUGAAAGCAGGGGAUCGCAAGACCUUGCGCUACUAGAGCGGCCGAUGGCAGAUUAGGUAGUUGGUGGGAUAAAAGCUUACCAAGCCGACGAUCUGUAGCUGGUCUGAGAGGACGAUCAGCCACACUGGGACUGAGACACGGCCCAGACUCCUACGGGAGGCAGCAGUGGGGAAUUUUGGACAAUGGGCGAAAGCCUGAUCCAGCAAUGCCGCGUGCAGGAUGAAGGCCUUCGGGUUGUAAACUGCUUUUGUACGGAACGAAAAGCCCCGGGUUAAUACCCUGGGGUCAUGACGGUACCGUAAGAAUAAGCACCGGCUAACUACGUGCAGCAGCCGCCGUAA